GUGACGGCCGUAAAACCCUCAGCUCAGCGCCUGGCACAUCGUAAGCGCCCGGAUCACUGUUCUUGGAGCUCGAGCUGCCAGGGAAGAAAUCCCUAUCUCGGUGUUGUCAUGCUGGGGAAGCCGCAGGUGGACAACCUAGCCAACAGUGCCAGCUGUGCCCAAACUUCCACCGGCCCAGCCAGCCCAGGCAUCAGGCAGAUGCGGAGCCUGAGGCACAGAGCAGGGAAAGGGCCUUGAACAAGUUGGUGUCUCAGAUACAGGUAGAAUUUAAGCCUCCAUCCUUGUUGACUCACAGCCUUCCUGGAGGAAAGGGGCUUUCCAUGAACAUCUCCCUGGGCUCCAGGCAUCUCCUCCCCCAUCCCCCACGCCCCGGGGCUCCAGGCGGGGGAUGGGUUUGAAGAGAACCAUGCAAAGCACUCCCACACAGGACAACCUGCUGAGGACACCAGACUGGUGGGAGGUGACUUCACCCACAGAACAGAGUCUGCUGGUUGGUGCUAGAAGGCAGGUGUGAGAGGAAAGGCCUGGAGCUGUGCCUUUUGGCCCCUAUCCAGAUGUUCAACACAAUUAAGAUCUGCGGUCAGAUUAGAAAGCAGACUCGGAUUACAACUCACACUGUCUUGGAUCAGUUUACCAGAUUGGAAUGCUUCCUGAUAGAGGCUCAGCUGCCAAGAAAAGAACGGCUCUACAAAACCCGGGUUCAAGUCCCAGAUAAUGGUAGGGGCUGUCAUUUAUUGAGCAUUUCUAAGUGCCAUAAACUGCUAGACUUUA